AUUGAACGCUGGCGGCAUGCCUUACACAUGCAAGUCGAACGGCAGCACGGGAGUAAUCCUGGUGGCGAGUGGCGAACGGGUGAGUAAUGUAUCGGAACGUGCCCAGUCGUGGGGGAAACGUAGCGAAAGCUACGCUAAUACCGCAUACGAUCUAUGGAUGAAAGCGGGGGAUCGCAAGACCUCGCGCGAUUGGAGCGGCCGAUAUCAGAUUAGGUAGUUGGUGGGGUAAAGGCUCACCAAGCCGACGAUCUGUAGCUGGUCUGAGAGGACGACCAGCCACACCGGGACUGAGACACGGCCCAGACUCCUACGGGAGUCAGCAGUGGGGAAUUUUGGACAAUGGGCGCAAGCCUGAGCCAGCAAUGCCGCGUGCAGGAUGAAGGCCUUCGGGUUGUAAACUGCUUCUGUACGGAACGAAACGGCGAGCUCUAAUACAGUUUGCUAAUGACGGUACCGUAAGAAUAAGCACCGGCUAACUACGUGCCAGCCGCCGCCGUAA
rnacentral:rRNA from 1 species